CACGCCGUAAACUAUGGGUGCUAGGUGUCGCGGGCUUUGACCCCUGCGGUGCCGUAGCCAACGCAUUAAGCACCCCGCCUGGGGAGUACGGCCGCAAGGCUAAAACUCAAAGGAAUUGACGGGGGCCCGCACAAGCGGUGGAGCAUGUGGUUUAAUUCGACGCAACGCGAAGAACCUUACCUGGGCUAGAAAACGGGAGAACCUGGUUGAAAAAUCGGGGUGCCCUUCGGGGAAUUCUCGGUUAGGUGC
rnacentral:rRNA from 1 species